ensembl:lncRNA
UUUCAAUGUUAAAUGUUUAUUUACAAACUAUAUUUUAAUAGAACAGUUGACUGAUUAUUAUUUAACUAAUUUUUAUUGAACUGUGCUUCUGCCUAUCCCAAUGUGAACCACUCCUCAUAGGACCCUUACAAUGAAGUUGGUUAAGCUAAAUUAAUAUAUUAUUCAUAUAUAGCUAUCAGUGUGAGGGACUGUUGCCUGGCUAGCCUUGUGGUGGGGGAAAGACUUGAGGCAGUGUGACAGAAGUUUGGGCAAAGACAGUUGACCUUUUUUAUUCUCAGUAGCCGCAGGUAAUAUGCCCGUCAGGAGGCAAAAAAAAUGCAUUAACGAAAUAAAUAACUGUCAUUAAUAAUUAUACUUCCGAAUAUCGUCAAUAAGCAAAACUCAAAAAUAGCCGUCCUCCACUCAGGCAUUUCCAUUUAGCCAUUGGCUUGUACAAGCGUGUUGCCACACGCUCACCUCAGACCCUACUGCCUCACACCUGUAAUUCAAUUAACAAUACAACUACAAAUUUUCGAUUAAGAAAUCACCACACCUAAUUAACACAUUACUCCAAACAUGUUGGUCUAAUAAGCAUACUUAUACAUAACUUCUCUGAAACCUUAAAUAUUCCCCAAGUACCCCAAACACCCCUCUCAUCCCACACACACUUGAUCCCUGCCCGUCUGACGUCACACCCACAACGCACAAAUGUUCUUCCGGACUUUACGUCGGGUCCGCCCCCCAUCCUCUGGAAUCCGGAAGCCAGCGGAACCACAACGUUAGUAUUUUUAAAGGUCCCAUGACAUGCUAUUUUAUGUAAUCUUUAAUAUAGGUAUUAGUGGGCAACUAACACAGUAUUCAAAGACGUUCCCGAAAUUCAGCCGUGGUGCAGAGUUACAGCCACUCCGAGCCAGUCGCACAUUGAGCUUCCCCCAAAUGCGUUUUUGGUGAUGUUUUGGUGUCUGUAGCUAUAAUGCAAAUGAGGAGGAGUGAGGCGGGUCAAGGAGGAGGGUGGGGGUGUGGCCCUGAGCAGCUUGCAGCCACGGUACCAUGCGCUCUGUUUACAGUGGAUGUAUCGCAAUGGCGAGAGGCGCACACAGCCUUUAGCCGUGUUCUGUAAAUAUUCUAGAACACACGGGAGUCCUGGAGCUCUACAUCUAAAUAUUAUCAUAUAGCCUACAUAGAUAUCUAUAUCAUAUAAUAUAUAUUAUCACGGCCAAAAGCUGUGUGAGCCGAUAUUAUGAAUUUCAAGCGACCCAAACACCCCUUCUCCGACGUUCCUGGUUCUUCAACGUCUACAUCAAUGUGAAGUAGACUGAAUCAACGACAAGGAGGAGAAAGGGAUCGUUGCCCCACAGCGCUUAGGCACCUCCGCCUCGGCGGUGGUCCCUCAGCGGGGCUCAAGCGAGACAUUCAAAGCCAACAAUCCCUUUCUCCUCCAUGUCCCGGUUCAUGUUCUUGACGGAGUCAAAGCCAAAGUUCCUUCCCCCCAAUUCAUUCUCAACCUUGGCUGAGAUAACCCCCAAUACGAGUCUCGUUGUAGAAAUACCAGAGACGAGAGUCCGACGUGUUAUGCGCCAUAACACCAAAAGCAGAACGGUUAUCCAAAUAACAAGGUGUACAACGCUUGCGUUACAGUCCUGGAGCUCUAUAUCUAAAUAAUAUCAUAUAAUACAUAUAUAUCUACAUCAUAGAUAGACGAUAUUAUGAAUCACAAACGACUUUGUCGGGUUCUGCAACGUCUCUGGUUCUUCCACUUUCACAUCAAUCGGAAGUAGACUGAACCGGGCGCUGCCUGCUGCCGGCUGCCUGCUGCCGGCUGCUUUCACAGCCGUGUGCCUCGCGGCAACCGGCGGCAUGUCGCAGUUCAUGUACAUCAGCGAGUCAAAGCCAAAGUUCCUUUCCCCCAUUUCCUUCUCAACCAUGGCUCAGAUAACCCCCACUACAGUCUCGUUGUGGAAAUACAAGACACGUCAAAGAACCGACAUGAAACACUUGCGUUACAGUGUGUGUAUUCUUCACACACACACAUGUGGCGCUCGCACGGUCGUGAAUCAUUGGCGGGCCAAAGUCUCUGGGCGGGCCAGGCAGAGUAGAGUAAAGGGAGGAGCUUAGAUGCUUUGUGACGACAUACCUAAAGACAUUCCAAAUCAGCGCGCUUGAGCCUCCGUUUUUUCAAAGGCGAGCAGAACAGCUAGUGCUCGUUUUACACCAAACGCAAGUUUUAGCCACUGGGGGACCAUUGCCAGGCUAGGGGAACUCAUAUUUCUGUUAGAAAACCUCAUAAAGUGAGAUUUUCAUGUCAUGGGACCUUUAAAAGGUAUUCACAUGAUGAAUGCACGCCAAAUUAAAAUACAUAGGUUAUUGCUCAGCUGCAAAUAUUAACAGAUUUACUUUGGACCACAGUCAUGUCAUUCUAAGUUGCCUUUUUUCCCUUACAUCAUAUUUUUUUUGCAUUGAUGCUAGUUGGCUUUGGUGGCUGCAGUUCUUGUCAUAUUGUCUCUUUGCACGUUCCACAGGCUCUCCGAGAGCAUCUCUGUUGAUUUGGUGCGCCAGCUCCAGUCGCUCUCGAAGGUGCUGGACAUACUCAGGGGCUGAGGGAGCUGGUUCAGGGUCCGGCGGCAGGCCGGAUACCAGGUCUACUGGCUCACGCACUUCCCGGCCAAACGUCAUGUAGUUCGGGGUGAAACCAGUUGAACUGUGCUUCGUUGCUCAGUUGAUCAUGACAGCGUAGGGAAUCAUGAGGUCCCAAUCCCAGUGGCAAUGCUUGGCUGUCACGGCCAGGAUCGUUUGCAGAGUGGCAUUGAACCUUUCAACUUGCCCAUCGGACUGCGUACAGAAAGGUGUGGUGUGUGUUUAGUCGAUCCCGAACAGCGUGCACAUUUCCUGGAACACCUCAGACUCGAAGUUCCGGCCUUGGUCGCUGUGCAGUGUCUGCGGGGCUCCAUAGCGACACCCCCACUCGGAGGCGAGCCCUUCAGCCACAGUUACAGCUUGUUCGUUAGGUUGGGGAAAAGCUUCGACCCAUUUUGUGAAAUAGUCCUUUAUGACCAGCACAUAUCUGUUGUUGCGCUCAGUCUCAUUCAGUGGCCCCAUAAUAUCCAAAGCGAUGCGCUCCAUAGGCGCUCCGACCAGAACAGUGCCCAUGGGGGCUUGUGGUGUGUUCCGUGGCCUGGCUUUUGAUGCACAGCUGGUGCAGGUGUUACUCCACAGGGCGACGUCCGCCCUCAUUCUGUACCAGGUAUCGGGUUUGCAGCCGAACUACAGUGCGCUCUACACCAAAAUGUCCACCAACUUGUCCCUCAUGCAUCUGUCUCAUGAUGUCUGGCCGGAAGGUGCGGGGCAGCACCACUUGUGGAUAGAAUUGGGUAUCGUCCAGGCAGUAGAAACGUCUAACCAGCACUCCAUCUCUGAUGUAGAGGCGUUUCCACUGGCUCCAAUAUGUCUUUGUGGCUGGGCUGCAAGGUGAGUUACCCAUGCAGGACGUUCUCCGCUGGUGCAAUGUCUGCGUCGUCUUCCUGGGCUUGUCGCAGCUCCUCCAGGGACAAACCACCAAACAGUUCAUUUUCUUUUGACUUAGUCAGAUAUAUUUUCUUUGGGGACUUUAAUGACAUGACAUUCCAUUCAAACAGUCCCUUCGUGACGUCCAAUGUUACACCUUUCCUGCUCUUUGGGUCCAUGACCGUAAUCGGGAAGCACAAGGGAGACGUUCCCUCCAGGGCCGAUGUCCUUUCGGGGGUAACACCCUUCACUUUCGACCGGCAGUGGGUCUGCUCAUGGGUCGGAAUGACACGGGCACCGAUUCUUGACGGCUGGGUACUUUGUUCCACAGUUUCAACAACUACAGUACACGUCUGCACAAAACAUAACCAGACUCAUUCCAUUCUUCCCUAGACUAACACACGCUAUCGCUCACUAGCUCAUUCACUCACACGCUGACGUCACUCACACACACACACUGCCAUCCUCGCGCACACAGAUACGCUACUCUCGUAACACAUGUAAAUUAAAACUUCUGUAUACUGUAAUUUCCUGAUUAUUAAGCGCAGCUGAAUAUAAGCCGCACCCACUCAAUUUAAAAUAAACAUUAUUUUGAACAUAAAUAAGCCAUCACAUGUCUAUA